UUUUUGUAUAGCUUCUCAAUAUUAUAACUACACCUUUGGCAAGUUUGAGCCAAAAUUCAUUCAAAAAUGCUCAAAAAAAAUGGCUCAAAAUAUAACCAUCAAUAAUUUGGUUCACUUACUUCCUUAAUUUGCAAGCUUUGACUUCGGCCAGCCAUUUCUUCCUCAUUUCAGAUCUAAUUUCAUCAAAUCUUAUACAAUAGUUGAAGCCCUUUAAGUCAACUUUUCAACCCCACCUUCCGAUUGUUAAAUG
rnacentral:lncRNA from 1 species